GAUGAACGCUGGCGGCGUGCCUAAUACAUGCAAGUCGAACGAAGAGACGAGGAGCUUGCUCCUCUUGCGUUAGCGGCGGACGGGUGAGUAACGCGUGGAUAACCUGCCUAGAAGACUGGGAUAACUUCGGGAAACCGUAGCUAAUACCGGAUAAUAUAAUGAAACGCAUGUUUCAAUAUUGAAAGGCGGUAUUGCUGUAACUUAUAAAUGGAUCCGCGCCGCAUUAGCUAGAUGGUAAGUUAACGGCUUACCAAGGCAACGAUGCGUAGCCGACCUGAGAGGGUGAUCGGCCACACUGGAACUGAGACACGGUCCAGACUCCUACGGGAGGCAGCAGUAGGGAAUCUUCCGCAAUGGGCGAAAGCCUGACGGAGCAACGCCGCGUGAGUGAUGAAGGUCUUCGGAUCGUAAAACUCUGUUAUUAGGGAAGAACAAAUGUGUAAGUAACUAUGCACGUCUUGACGGUACCUAAUCAGAAAGCCACGGCUAACUACGUG
rnacentral:rRNA from 1 species